UGGGGAAUUUUGGACAAUGGGCGAAAGCCUGAUCCAGCAAUGCCGCGUGUGUGAAGAAGGCCUUCGGGUUGUAAAGCACUUUUGUCCGGAAAGAAAUCCUUGGCUCUAAUACAGUCGGGGGAUGACGGUACCGGAAGAAUAAGCACCGGCUAACUACGUGCCAGCAGCCGCGGUAAUACGUAGGGUGCAAGCGUUAAUCGGAAUUACUGGGCGUAAAGCGUGCGCAGGCGGUUUGCUAAGACCGAUGUGAAAUCCCCGGGCUCAACCUGGGAACUGCAUUGGUGACUGGCAGGCUAGAGUAUGGCAGAGGGGGGUAGAAUUCCACGUGUAGCAGUGAAAUGCGUAGAGAUGUGGAGGAAUACCGAUGGCGAAGGUAGCCCCCUGGGCCAAUACUGACGCUCAUGCACGAAAGCGUGGGGAGCAAACAGGAUUAGAUACCCUGGUAGUCCACGCCCUAAACGAUGUCAACUAGUUGUUGGGGAUUCAUUUCCUUAGUAACGUAGCUAACGCGUGAAGUUGACCGCCUGGGGAGUACGGUCGCAAGAUUAAAACUUAAAUGAAUUGACGGGGUCAUAGCUGUUUCCU
rnacentral:rRNA from 1 species